rnacentral:lncRNA from 1 species
AGUAUGCAGCUACUAAUGAUGGAUUAUUUGCUUUUACUUUUUAAAACAUUUUUUUAUUAUUAUAAACAGAACUUUAUGAGGUUUAUGUAGUGAAAUUUUAUUUUAUUAUAAAAAAAAUAAAAAGAGGAGAUACUUAUUUUGUAUAGUGUUGCCUUCCAUUCCAUGGCUGGUUCUUGGGGGUAACAUGUUCAAAGCAGUUGAAUGGGGGGGCUAGUGAAGGAGCAGCUUCUGUUGCAGAUUUUCUACACUUGUUGGCUAAGAGGAAGAUGUGUGAUGAGGUCUGGUUCCACAAACCACCUUCUUCUUUGUUGUUUAGUUUGCGUUGUUGUUGAUUUCUUUUGCAUGUUUUCAUUGAUGUUGUUCUCUUUGGCCUGUUGUGGCUGUUUUAAUGGAAUUACUAUUGGAUUAAAAAAAAAUAUGUAGAGCAACAUGGACACAUAUAAUCUUUUAACAAAAAGAAAAAGAACCACAUGGCCUCUCUUGGCUCAAGAGGAAAGCCCUUCGUUAAUAAUGGACUUUUGAAUGAUGGUGCAACAUUUGGC